rnacentral:misc_RNA from 1 species
GAAACGCCAAUAUCUGAGGGAACAAAAAAUCAUGGAAAUUGCGAGUCAGUCAAUGAAAGGGACCCGUCGGCUUCCCUGAAUAAGAAAGAGGAAGGACACCGUUAUACCUAAACCAGAAACCUUCACACUCCAGCAACACAACCACGGCGUCGUUUCUCAGUUCUCUUAACCGGCACGUGGCAUUUAGGUCAAGCACUACUGUAUACCACACCAACUCGUCACAUUAACUCAAGACGCAGAAGAACAUUUUUCUACAACCACCGGUUCGAAAGCUCUAAAUAUCCGAUCAAAUUCUUUCCCUCUCAGUUCCGAAUUGCGUAUUCCCAAUUCUUGCUCGGGAUUGGGUAAUUCGGGAUGGGGAAAGGUGGAGGCUGUGUUCCAAGCAAGAACAAACGCCCUGCCGUCGCUGAAGAUCACCAAGGCUCAUCUCUUGACGCGCCGAUCCCUGACGAGGAUAACGCCGAGAAUAAUGCGACUGCCGCAAUGGAUUCCACCUCACAGUUGAAGAUAUUCAUUGUGUUUUACUCGAUGUACGGUCACGUGGAGGGUUUAGCCAGGAGGAUGAAGAAGGGAGUCGACGGAGUGGAAGGCGUGCAGGCUGUUUUGUAUCGGGUGCCAGAGACGUUACUGGGUGAUGUGUUGGAGCACAUGAAGGCGCCAGCGAAGGACCCUGAGAUUCCGGAGAUAACGGCCGCGGAAUUGGCAGAUGCUGAUGGUGUUUUAUUUGGGUUUCCAACGAGGUACGGCUGCAUGGCUGCGCAGAUGAAGUCGUUUUUCGACUCUACUGGGCAGCUGUGGAAAGAGCAGAAGCUCGCCGGAAAGCCUGCUGGAUUCUUCGUCAGUACUGGGACACAAGGUGGCGGCCAAGAAACUACAGCAUGGACAGCAAUCACCCAGUUAGCUCACCAUGGAAUGCUAUUUGUUCCUGUUGGGUACACCUUUGGAGCUGGUAUGUUCAAGAUGGAUUCCAUACGAGGAGGCUCUCCAUAUGGUGCUGGUGUUUAUGCAGGUGAUGGCUCGAGAGAGCCAAGUGAAUCAGAGCUGGCACUUGCAGAACAUCAUGGCAAAUAUAUGGCCACAGUCGUAAAGAAGCUUGCUCAGGCUUGAUGAUGUUGUUCCCAAUCUUUGAAACACUUGUGGUCUCUUUUAUCUGGUCAUCUAUUUGAAUGCAUUUGUUUGUAAAUGGUCUUAUAUAUCAAAUAUGAGGAUUAUAAUCUUCUAUUUUGGCUUUUUGUAUUUGGAUUUGAAUGUGUAAAAGAAAAAAAUAAAUAAAAUAAA